GGGGGCGACCUGGCUUCGACAUGGGUUGCGAAUCCUUUUAGUGCAUGCCGAGGAUGUGACUUACCUCGUAAAAUCCUGUUACAAACUUAUAGUUGCAAACGACAAACUAUAUGGCGCAGCUGACGAAGCUCGCCAAAUAGCUGCUUAAUACUAAUAAUAUUUAAGUAGCCGAUUACUCAAUAGUGCCUAUGCAGUUGAAGUGGUCGUCAUAUACAUAGGAUCGUGGAAAGGCUUGCUCCGAGCUGGACUAUUAAAUACUUAGGAGCUCGCUUGGAUUGACCCCGUGCGCCGGGUGGAUUCAAGUCAAAUAUAGGCGUUACUAAACAUGUAGAGCUAGAGGCAUAGGACUUGUGGACGCGGGUUCAAUUCCCGCCGCCUCCACCA
rnacentral:tmRNA from 1 species